rnacentral:lncRNA from 1 species
UCUCCAGCAUCUGCUUCUUCAAUCAUCCAUUUUCUUUCAUUUGAAAAGAGAUCAGCCGAAAUUCUCAAGAUAAAAAAAAAAAAGCUGACCUAAAAGGAACAGAAAAGCUGGCAGCACUGUUCUUCACGAGAAUUAAAAGCACCGCAAUACACAAAAACCCGACCCCCCUUGGCUUCGUCCUUUCUACGUCGACUGAAAUAGCGCCAUUGACGACCAUAAAACGACGUCACUCCUUCACCUCCAUUAAGCUCUAUCCCGUCAGUGAAAGCGAGGUUCGGCGAAGUUGACAUGUUCCAUUCGAGGCUUUCGAUUGUUGGUCUGGUCAGCAGUAGCUCAGUCUAUUUUUGUGAAGGUUUGUUUUGAGAUCUAUUUCUUUCAAUUUUGUUUUUGUUUGUUCUAUUACUAUGUAUAUGAAUACAUACCUUUUUUUGCUUUUCUUUUGAAGUUUAUAAAAAUGAAGUACGUUCUCUUACUGCUUGUUUUGCUUUCAUUUAGUUAACGAGCUUCAUUAUUGGCUUAGCUAAUAAAUUGCCUACUCAUGUGAUUGCACUGUUUUAUCUUUAAAAAAUAUAUUAUUACAUAUUAGUUUUUAUGUUUGGUGAAUUGGCCGUAAAAGAUGUGUGUUCCUUUUUGUUUGUCACAACUUAGAUUCUUAUACUACAGUGAGCGAAUGGGAUGAGUAGAAUCUUUCUGGCUUAUAUGUGAUUUCAAACAAAUGAUAGAGAUAAAAAAGUUAUGCAGCUAUAAUUACACAAAGCUUUAAGAAUGUAUAAACUUAUUGUUGCUUUACUACUGUUUCUUUGUCGACCCGUGAUAAUUUCAAUGGAUGAAUCAUGUUUACAAGUAUGUUUUUUGUUUAUUGUGAUUUACUUCACCGUGAUUGAGAAAUGAAGCCAUUGAUUCUUAUUUACCACAUUUGAGACUGAGCUGUGUGUGAAACAUAUGAAAAUGAGUAGUUGCUUUAGGCGUGCUAUCUUAAAAUUACCUUCCUAAACUCGGGUGCGCAUUUAUGUGACCCAAAUUUAAAUCUCAACAACGUUGGAUAAAAUGUGUCGGGGACCGCGGGUGCAUUUAUGUGACGUGGUUCAAGAUGUAUUUUAUGUGACGUUGCAAUCUUCCUUAAAAAUGAAUAAAAACGGUUAAUUAGUUAAAAUUGUAUCGUAGGAUAAAACAUGUACUAAAAUCACAUAAUAGGUCAAUUAUAACAGUUGAGUGACCGUGCUAGAACCACGGAACUCGGGAAUGCCUAACACCUUCUCCCGGGUUAACAAAAUUCUUACCCGGAUUUUUGUGUUUGCGGACUGUGAAACAGAGUCAAUCUUUUCCUCAAUUCGGGAUUUGAACCGGUGACUUGGGACACCAUAAAUCAUCCCGAGUGGCGACUUUGAAUUUAAUAAAUAAAUAAUCCCGUUUCAAUUGUCACUUUAAGUUGGAAAAAACUCCCUUAUACACUCUUUUCCCGGGGGUGUAGGCAAAAAGGAGGUGUGACAGGCAUUCGUCAAAUUUUGGUAGCAAAUUAUGGAUUUCGGUCUGGUAUUUCUGUAGCCUCUGCUCCUUGAUCUGGAAAGUCCUAGUAACUUGGUUUACGACAAGUUAAGAGUCGCAGCGGAGGAUGACUCGUCGUGUACCAUAUUUUAGGGCUAAUUUUAGUCAUGCAAUUACGACCUCAUACUCAGCCUCAUUGUUAGUCAUUUCAGGGCACCGUAUGGAUCGACGAAUCACUUCGCCCGUCGGGACUUCGAGUACGAGUCCCAAUCCAGAUCCUGACGCAUUGGAUGUGUCGUUGGUGUAGAGGACCCAACGAUUGGGUCGCCUAGAGGAAGUGCAAAGCACUUCUUGCUCGACCUCGGACAGUAUUUCUGCACUGAAGUCAACGACGAAGUCGGUGAGUACUUGCGAUUUUAUCGCAGUUCGCGAUUGAUAUGUUAUAUUGCACUCGCUCAAUUCUAUGGCCUAUUUGGCCAAUCUACCCGAUAGCUCAGGUUUGUGCAGGAUGCUGAUGAGGGGAAAAGUCGUCACCACCUUUAUGGGGUGACACUAAAAAUAUGGUCUAAGCUUACGUGAAGCUACGACCAACGCCAGAGCCAAUUUUUCAAGGUGGGGAUACCUCUUUUUGGCGUCAACUAAAGUUUUGAUGAUAUAGUAAAUCAGAGAUUGCGUACCUUUGCUUUUGCAAACCAAAAUCGCGCUUACCGCGACUUCAAACACGACUAGAUAGACAAGGAGGCAUUCGUCUGGAUCUGCCUUAUCGAGUAAUGGUGGCGAGGACAAGUAGGUUUUCAGUUUUCUCAGGGCGUCGACACACUCCAAAUUCCACUGGAGCCCAUUAUCUUUCUUUAGCACACUGAAAAAUUUAUGACACCUGUCUGAUGAUUGUGAGAUGAACCUCGACAGGGAGGCAAUCUGACCUGUCAGUUUUUGUACCUGUUGUUUUGCUGGUUAACAUUUCCUGUAUUCCUUCGAUGGCCUUAAUCUGAUCUGGGUUGACCUCGAUACCUCUUUGCGAUACUAGGAAAUCAAGGAAUUAUACUGAGGUUACGCCGAAGGUGCAUUUUUCGGGGUUUAGUUUCAUACCGUACUGCCUUAAUAUGUCGAAGGCUUCCUUCAGAUGGUCGAUAUGAUCUUCUUUCCUUUUAGACUUAACCAGCAUGUCAUCGAUGUAGACUUCGAUUAUUUUGUUGAGUUGAUCUUUAAACAUCUUGGUGACCAGUCUCUGGUACGUCGCCCCUGCAUUCUUUAAUCCGAAUGGCAUGACCUUAUAAUAGUACGUUCCUUGGUGAGUGAUGAAGUGGUUUUCUCCUGGUCUUCUUCCUCCAUGAGGAUCUUGUUGUACCCCGAAUAGGCAUCUAAGAAUCUUAGAUGCUCGUGUCCUACUGUUGCGUCGAUGAGCUGGUCGAUGUGUGGCAAUGGAAAGGAGUCUUUUGGGCAUGCCUUGUUUAGGUUAUUGAAAUCUACACACAUCCGCCACUUUCCGUUUUUCUUCUUCACCAUGACCAUAUUGGCGACCCACUGGGGAUAUUUUGACUCUCGGACGGAGCCAUUUGCUAGCAACUUAUCGACUUCUUCGCUGACAGCUUCGUUGCUUGCGGCAUUGAACUUCCUCCGUAUUUGCCGCACUGGCGGGUUGAGGGGGUCAACAUUCAGUUUGUGCAUGGCGAUGUCUUUCGGGAUACCUGGCAUAUCUGUAUGGGAGAAGGCAAAUAGAUCAGCAUUGUCAGUUAAGAAUUUAUGAAACUUACCUGGUUUCGAGAGGUUGUGCCCGAUAUAAGCCUUUUUGUGUUGUUAUUGUUGUCUAGUAGGAUGGGAUCGAGAUCCUCUAUUAUCAAAUUGGACGCUUCCACAAUGUCGGGGUCCUUGUCCGUACGUCAAGUUUGGUUCUCGACAUCGUUGAUUGCUAUGCUUCUUCACUUGCCCUUUUUAGUUGUUGGGUGUGUACGCAAUCCUGGGCGAUGCGAUAGCAUUCCUGUGCGNNNNNNNNNNNNNNNNNNNNNNNNNNNNNNNNNNNNNNNNNNNNNNNNNNNNNNNNNNNNNNNNNNNNNNNNNNNNNNNNNNNNNNNNNNNNNNNNNNNNNNNNNNNNNNNNNNNNNNNNNNNNNNNNNNNNNNNNNNNNNNNNNNNNNNNNNNNNNNNNNNNNNNNNNNNNNNNNNNNNNNNNNNNNNNNNNNNNNNNNNNNNNNNNNNNNNNNNNNNNNNNNNNNNNNNNNNNNNNNNNNNNNNNNNNNNNNNNNNNNNNNNNNNNNNNNNNNNNNNNNNNNNNNNNNNNNNNNNNNNNNNNNNNNNNNNNNNNNNNNNNNNNNNNNNNNNNNNNNNNNNNNNNNNNNNNNNNNNNNNNNNNNNNNNNNNNNNNNNNNNNNNNNNNNNNNNNNNNNNNNNNNNNNNNNNNNNNNNNNNNNNNNNNNNNNNNNNNNNNNNNNNNNNNNNNNNNNNNNNNNNNNNNNNNNNNNNNNNNNNNNNNNNNNNNNNNNNNNNNNNNNNNNNNNNNNNNNNNNNNNNNNNNNNNNNNNNNNNNNNNNNNNNNNNNNNNNNNNNNNNNNNNNNNNNNNNNNNNNNNNNNNNNNNNNNNNNNNNNNNNNNNNNNNNNNNNNNNNNNNNNNNNNNNNNNNNNNNNNNNNNNNNNNNNNNNNNNNNNNNNNNNNNNNNNNNNNNNNNNNNNNNNNNNNNNNNNNNNNNNNNNNNNNNNNNNNNNNNNNNNNNNNNNNNNNNNNNNNNNNNNNNNNNNNNNNNNNNNNNNNNNNNNNNNNNNNNNNNNNNNNNNNNNNNNNNNNNNNNNNNNNNNNNNNNNNNNNNNNNNNNNNNNNNNNNNNNNNNNNGCGGUACGUUGUUCGCCCCGGAUGCUGAAUACCCCCCAUGGGGUAGGAAACUUGAUUACUUGAUAGAAACUGGAUGGGACUGCUCGCAUGGUGUGUAUCCAUGGGUGCCCUAUGAUAGUGUUGUAGGAUGUAUCUUGGUCCAUGAUGUGAAACGUCAUUUCUAAGGUGACUCCUCCGGAUAGGAUGGGUAGCACUAUCUCUCCAGAAGUCUGCUCGACUGUAUUAUUAAAACCUGUUAGCGUUAUGUAAUGCGGUAUUAUUUUAUCUUCGAGUCUCAUCUGUACGAGGACUUGAGGAUGGAUAAUAAAUGCGUCACUCCCGUUAUCUACCAUUAUUCUUUUUACAUCGGUAUCUACAAUACGUAAAGUGAUAACAAGAGCAUCGUAGUGAGGGUAAGGCAAACCGUCGGUAUCUGACUUAUCGAAGACAAUACUACUAUCUUCGAGGUCAUCAUAUUGUUCAUGAGUGAUCGACCGUUUAAGUUUAUGUGUGGUGGUGAACUUUACAUGAUUGAUUGUUGUGUCAUCGCCCCCGAUGAUGAUCAUCUGUAUAGUGCUAGAAGGAGAAGGCGGUUUUGGAGGUACUUAGGGUUGUUAGCGUCCGCAAGCAAAUUUAUCCCGUUCUUGAUCGCUCAACAAUUCUUUUAGGUGUCCCUGAUUUAGCAUUCUCACUACCUCCUGCCGCAAUCCAAUGCAAUCUUCGGUUUUGUGACCCCUUUCCUGGUGGAAUUCGCAGAGAGCAUUCGACUUCUGAGUGAUUGGGCCGGACUUCAUCUUUUGCGGCCAUUGCACCUUUGUACCGAGUUUCUCUAGUGCGUACACUAUUUCAGAAGGAGAGACACAAAUAUUGUGAGAAGAUAGGAGAGAAGGCAUACCUUUCUCGUGGUGAUUUGGCGUUGCAUGUCGAGAAGGAGCAUCUGUGUGCCGCGGAGGAGGUAGGAUAGAUAUCCUGAUGUAGGGCUAAUGCCUUUCUCGACCGAGAUGGGAUCCCGACUGAUCUCUUCGACCAUUGCUGCGACGAUCUUUCCUUGCUUUAGUUUGAACUGACGUCAACCGUUGGAUCGGACCAUUGAGGUAGUACUUAUCGGCUCUUACCUCGGCGCAGUAGGCGUUAUGGAUUUCUUACCAAGUGGUUGGAGGGUAUUUCAUGAGCCUGCUUAACAAUUUUCUGGUCGCUCUUGACCCAUUCUUGUUUAGUCCAUUCUAGAAGGCUGCUACCGCCAUUCCCUCUGACACAUUUGGCAAGCUCAUUCUUACCCUGUUGAACCGAGCUAAGAAGUCCCUAAGUCCCUUGUCGUUCAUCUGCCUAACGGAAAAUAUGUCAUUUACUCUGGCUUCUGCCUUUUUGGCCCCUGCAUGGGAGGUGACAAACUUGUCUGCCAUUUCUUCGAACAUUGCUAUCGAACGUGCCGGUAGUUGGGAGUACCAGGUCAGGGCUCCCCCUGUUAGGGUUUUACCGAACUUUUUCAGUAGCACUGAUGGUACUUGUUCUUUCGAAAGAUCGUUACCUUUUAUGGCCGUGACGUAGUGGAUGAUAUGAUCUUCUGGAUCGGUAGUACCGUCAUAUAUCUUCAGGUAUGGUGGCAUUUUGAAGGUCUUUGGAAUGGCGUAGAGGGACACUUCUUCAUUGUAUGGUUGCUCGAUGAAUCGACCAACGUCCCGUUUUGGCAACAACUUUGGGGUGCCUGGUAUUUUGUCAACCCUCUCUUGGUGUUCCUUCAUCUAGUCACGGAGUGCCUUAUUCUCAUUUUCCAUCUCCUCCAUUUUCUUUAAAAUGGUUGCAAGCGUGUCAUUACCUGCGUCAAAUAGAAGUAUGAGUGUUACCUGUACGAGGGACAUCUCGCUCAUCAGCGAUCGUCGUGACAUCUACAUAUGCAAUAUCUCUGUUAUCCCGUUGGGCGGGUUUAUCGAGUAUGUUGUUCAGAGUGCUUGUUAUCCAUUCUUCCAGUAGUCUGCUCACUGCUGGUGGUGCCUCUCCUGUUGUAGAUGUGGAGGCUUCCUUCUCGCGCGAAGCAGUUACGCUUUCAUGCAAGGGAGGUGAAGCAUCUCCCAUGGGUGUGGUGUUUGGUGUCCCGUUUUCGUUAUCUUCUCUGUUGUCUUCAUUGAUGGUGUUCAGGAUGUUGGUUGUGACACCUACUAUUGAUUUUAGCUUUGUAUCUCCUUUCCUUACCAUUGUUAGUUUGUGCAAAGGUUUAAGAACAAAGGUGAUAUCCAAAGUUGUAAUAACUAUAGGAGUAUCAAAUUACUGAGUCAUACCAUGAAAGUAUGGGAGAGGGUGGUUGAAGUGAGGGUGAGGAUGACAGUGUAUGUAUCCGACAACCAGUUCGGGUUCAUACAGGGUCUCUCCACCACAGAAUCUAUACACCUGGUAAGGAGGUUGGUGGAACUAUACAAAGAGAGAAAGAAGGAUCUGCACAUGGUGUUUAUUGACCUAGAGAAAGCGUAUGAUAAGGUUCCUAGAGAAGUUCUAUGGAGAUGCUUGGAAGCGAAAAGUGUAUCGGUUCCUUAUAUUAUGGCAAUUAAGGACAUAUAUGAUGGAGCUAAGACUCGGGUUAGGACAGUAGGAGGAAAUGCUGAGCAUUUUUCGGUUGAAAUACGGUUACACCAAGGCUCUACGCUCAGUCCGUUCUUAUUCGCCCUGGUGAUGGAUGCGAUAACAAACCAUAUUCAAGGGGAGGUGCCAUGGUGCAUGCUAUUCGCCGAUGACAUAGUUCUGAUUGAUGAGUCACGAGCUGGUGUUAACGAGAGAUUGGAAGUCUGGAGACAAACUCUUGAGUCUAAGGGUUUCAAGCUAAGCAGAACGAAGAUGUGGAUGUGAGGCUUGAGUCACAAGUUAUCCCAAGUAGAGGCAGCUUCAAAUACCUUGGUUCGAUUAUCCACGAGGGAGGGGAGAUCAACGAGGAUGUCUCACACCGUAUUGGGGUAGGAUGGAUGAAGUGGAGGUUAGCAUCUAGAGUUUUGUGUGACAAUAGAGUGCCAACGAUACUUAAAGGUAAGUUCUAUAAAGUGGUGGUUAGACCGGCCAUGAUGUAUGGGGCUGGGUGUUGGCCAGUUAAGAACUCACAUAUCCAAAAGAUGAAAGUAGCAGAAAUGAGGAUGUUGAGGUGGAUGUGCGGGCACACUAGGAUGGAGAAGAUUAGGAAUGAUGAUAUUCGAGGGAAGGUGUAUGUGGCUCCCAUUGACGACAAGAUGCGGGAAGCGAGGCUCAGAUGGUUCGGGUAUGUACAGAGGAGAAGCCCAGAUGCUCUAGUAAGGAGGUGUGAGCGGAUGGUUGUAGAAGGCACGAGAAUAGGUAGAGGGCGGACUAAGAAGUAUUGAGGAGAGGUGAUCAGGCAGGAUAUGGCGAGGCUUCAGAUUUUCGAGGACAUGACACAUGAUAGGAAGUUGUGGAGGUCGAAUAUUACGGUUGUAGGCUAGGAGGUAGUUGAGUCUUGCGUUACUUUGUACCUUUGUGAGCCUAGUAUGGUAGGGUUUUGUCUAAGAAAGCUAGGGGCAAUGUCGUGUCUUACUAUUUUCUAUUUUUCUAUUUUUCGACGCAGGAUCCAUUUACUAGCCAUCGUUUUUACUUUGCACUUUUCUGCAUUUUAUGUUCCUAUGUUUCCUAUGAUCUCCGUGGUGAAUCUAAUAUUCUCUCCUUUUGUCUUUUUAUUAUCUUGAGCCGAGGGUCUUUCGGAAAUAGCCUCUUUACCCCUUCAAGGUAGGGGUAAGGUCUGCGUACACACUACCCUCCCCAAACCCCACUUGUGGGAUUUUACUGGGUUAUUGUUGUUGUUGUUGUUGUUAGUUUGUGCAAAGCUAGGAAGAGAUGACUAUCCCUUUCUAUGAUCUAGAUGAAACUGAAAUCUAAACUAAAGAAAUCCCCACAGACGGUGCCAAAUUGUUUGACCAAAAGAUUUCAAAACCCUUUUGAUUAAAAUAAUUAAUAAUAAUAAUGAGGUCAAUCUUAGUCAAGCACAAUAAAAUCUAGAUCAAGUGAUGGAAGGAGUUUAGCAAGAUGAACGGUGUAACAAAUAUGUUGAAAUCAAAUAAAUGCUCAUAAAUGUGAAAGACUUAAAUGUGCAAUGAAACCUUAAUUGAUGAAAUCGAUGUAGGGGGAGGAUAAGUAUAAGAUGAUUGCGGAAUCUUAGGAUUUUCUCAUAUGAACAAGACUGUUUUCGCAUUCACUCUGAGAUAAUACUUUUACAAAGUGUUCUUUUGUCCUCUUUCUCCCGUGUCCUCAUUUCUUCACUCACUCUUCCUAUUUAUAAGGCACAAUCUCCCAAGAAACCCUAAAAAGUACAACAUUGAGAAUGUUCGAAAGGUAUAUUCUUACUGUCUCCUACUAAGUUUACAUUAUAGUGGACGUCACACGCCGACUGACCGCCUUUGGUUGUUGUCUUUCGCCACGACGACCAUCAGACAAUGCAUCAUAGUAACUUCGUUCCCCGUCCUACUCGGUAAUGGUUAUGGUUGCCAAAUUUGGACCCAUACAGGGGGUUCACAAACGACUUCUUGUUCUUUCUAAAAUGAAAAAACAUUUUGAAAACAAGUUUUUACCAACCAAAAAAUAAAAGCUUUCUUUGCGAAAACACUAAUUUGUCUCUUAAUUGGUUAUACAGCGUAAAUUAUUUUGAUAUUGAAGUUGUCUUUUUGGAUGAGUAGAUACUAAAUAAAUAGUAGCAUUUAUUUUAAAAUAGAGUGAUCUUACUAGUACGAUUACCAUUUUCAUUUGAGGAAAUGAUCUGCUAUAAUCGGUUAUAAUUUGAAAGAAGAAAAUGUCUCUAUAAAAAUCUCAUGUGUAUUAUUUACUAAUAUCCUAUAUUGUAUUUUAUUUAUUUUCUAUGCAAAAUAAUUAUAUUAUAAAAAUAAAAAUUUGUAUUGAAUCAUAAGAUCGAUCUAGCAAUCUCCACAUUUGGGGAAAGGGUGCAAGGUUUGCAGCAGUGCUGAUUAACCAAGAAGAAUUUAUUUAAAUAGCCGCCUACCUAAUCUCUUAAUCUAAGAAUAGCCAGCGAAUAUAUAUAUAAUUAUAUGUAAUCAAUGUAUAAUGUAUAUAUACCUGCUAGAAAAACUAAUCAUUAAAUUAGGCCGGCUACUUGGGUAACAUAGCAUUAAUAUCUUGGACUUGAGCUUUGCUGAAAAACUGAAGUAACUGAAGCCCAGGCCCAAAACCUAGACUCUAAUUUGCCGUUAUUAAUGAGUUUACUAAAAUUACUUCUUUUAUUUGUGUAGACAAUUAUUUAUUAGAUCUACUGGUCUUUAGUGUGUCCCAUAUCAACAUGUACAAACUUUCUAAAAUGAUAUAGAUAAUAUUAAAACACAUAAGUAAUGAGUAAUUAAAAGUUUGAAAAUAAAGUAUAAGUUGAAUCGACUAAAUUAAAUAUAACCUUUUUUUUAUGUAGCUCUUAUCAAAUAUUCAUUAAUUUUUUACCAAAUAAUAUGGAUAAAAAAUUAUUUAGCAAUUCAAGUGAGAAACAUUUUUUUUUUGUCAGAAUAUGUUAUUCAUUUGUUAAUCUGUUGAAUAAGCAUCGAUAAAUCAGUUCUUUUGUAUUAUAUGCAAUAAUAAAUUAUAUUAUUCCUAUUUAACAUGAGUUAUAUUAUUACACCAUCUUUGUCACAACCCAAUUUCUCCUUCCGUGAACUGUUGUGACGGCACCUAGUCUCUACGACUAGGUAAGCCUAAUAUUGCGGAAAUGAAAUGAAAAUACAAAGAUAACAACUAAUGGAUAUUGUUAAUAAGCAGAAACGGUGCCACUCGGCAUAUACAAUAAUCAUUUUUCCAAAACCUGGUAUAUCGCAAGUCACAAGCUACUAAGAAAUCUUAACUGUUCUAUACCUCAUUUCUACAGAAAAAAGGGAAAUGAACAUAGGGGAUAGAGGGGGACUCCGAGGAUCUGCGGGCGCGGGUAUAUGUACCUUGAAGUAUCCAAUAAGCAACCGCGACUGUAACUAGUGGUGAGGCUGGUAAGAUGAACAUGGAUCCGCACACGAAAAACAUGUGCAGGAAAGGACAUGAGUACACUACAACGGUACCCAGUUAAUGCCAAGGCUAACCUCGGUCGAGUAGUGACGAGAUUAGGUCAGGGCCCUACUAGUAUAAAUAUAAUGAAAUAAGACAGAAUGAAAUUUCAUAGUAAAAAUAAAUACGGAAAUCUAACAGGAAUAGAAUCAAUGAAAGACAACAACUCAGAACACAGUGAUAACAACAGGGUCGUUACAUCCUCUCCCUCUUAAAACAAUAACUUAGAACAUAGUGAUCAACCGGUAUAACUCUCAAAACGAGCGGUCGGGUCGUUAUAUCCUCCCCCUCUUAAAACAAUCGUUCGAACUUGAACGAGCAUAGAGACAUACCUGAAGUAGUAAAAAGAUGAGGAUAACGGCUGUGCAUAUCAUGCUCGGUCUCCCAAGUCGCCUCCUCGACUAGCUGAUCCCACAACUAAACCUUUACUAAUGUAAUGUUUUUUUACCUCAGCUUUCAAACUUGCCUGUCCAAGAUAGCCACUGGCUUCUCAACAUAAUAUAGAUCUUUGUCCAAUUGGACUGAGCUGAAAUCCAACACUGGAGACAGAUUACCGUGAUACCUCAGGGAGCAUCGAAAUGUGAAAUACCGGAUGAAUAUAGGAUGGUCGUACUUCUUGUACCUCUCGAGCCUCUACUAUUCCUCCUCUAAAAUUGUUGCCCUACCCUCGGGCUGAGCUGGGGCUACAUGCGGUAUCGGUAUAACCUUUGGUAUCUGAUCAACUUGAACUCACUGCUCUAGGAUGCAGGCGACGGGAGUCUGUGCUCCUCUCCCGCCCUGAAAUGUGGCUGCAGCAAAGGGAAUCAACCCUGCCUGAGCUAGAGUGUUAUACAUGCUCAUGAACUGUGCAAGGGUCUCUUGAUGAGCUGGAGUAGUAAUAGUAGGCGUCUCAGGUGCAUGUGCUUCGACUGGAGUUAUUAGUGGCUCUUCUGUAGUAGCUCGCUCGUGUGCUUUGGCUGCACAACGUGUGCAUCCUCAGCCUCUACCCCGGCCUCGGGCGGCUCUAACAGGGGGCGCGGGUGCCUGGUUGUAUCCAGUUGCACGUGUCCUCACCAUCUGUGAGAGAAUAGAAGACAGAAAUUUAGAAUUUCAAAGUCAAUAAUCUCGCACGACAAGGAAUCAAAUGAAGUGGAAUUUUUCUAAUAGUUCCAUAGCCUCCCGAAGAUAAGUACAGAAGUCUGUGUACCGAUCCGUGAGACUUUAAUAAACUUGCUUGUGACUCACGACUCCUAUGAACCUAGAGCUCUGAUACCAACUUGUCACAAUCCAAUUUUUUCCUUCGUGAACUGUCGUGACGGCACCUAAUUUCUACAACUAGGUAAGCCUAAUAUUACGGAAAUUAAAUGAAAACACAAAGAUAACAGCUAACAGAUAUUGUUAAUAAGAAGAAACGGUGCCACUCGGCAUACACAAUAAUCAUUUUCCCAAUCCGGAAUAUCGCAAGUCACAAGCUACUAAGAAAUCUUAACUUUUCUAUACAUCAUUUCUGCAGAAAAGAAGGGAAAUAAACAAGGGGGACAGAGGGGGACUCCGGGGACCGGCGGGCGCGGACAGAUGUACCUUGAAGUCUCCAAUAAUCAACCGCGACUGCAACUAGUGGUGAGGCUAGUAAGAUGAACCUGGAUCUGCACACGAAAAAUAUGUGCAGGAAAGGGCAUGAGUACACCACAACGGUACCCCAGUAAGUGCCAAGCCUAACCUCGGUCGAGUAGUGACGAGAUCAGAUCAGGGCCCUACUGUUAUAAAUAUAAUGAAAUAAGACAUAAUAAAAUAUCAUAGUAAAAAUAAAUAUGGAAAUCUAACAGGAAUAGAAUCAAUGAAAGACAACAACUCAGGACACAUUGAUAACAACAGGGGUUCUCCUAGGAUACCGUCCCGUAGUCCCAAACGUAAAUGUACAGGGGGAUCUCCCGGAAUGCCGUUCCGUAGUCUCAAAGUAAAUAUACAGUACAAGGGGAUCUCCCAGAAUACCGCUCCGUAGUUCCAAAGUAAAUAUGCAGCUCAAUCAACAGAAAUAAUAUUUAUAGCAAGGAAAAUUACAGUUUAGACUGAGUGCAAAUCAAGGGGAGUAGGAAAGUUUCACUAAACAUGCUGCACAGAGUUCAAAUAGGUAGUUAAAACACGUAGGCAUGCUAUUCUAACUUAAAAGGAUAGUUCAUAUGCUAUUGUAGCUCAAAUAAGGAGAAAACAUGUUAUGACUUAAUGAAAAACGAAGUUUUACAUCAAAUAGCCCGUGUACGUACUCAUCACUUCACGUACAUGGCGCUCACAUAUCAAAACAGUACCAAAUCAUAAGAGGAGUUUCCCUACACAAGGUUAAGCAAACCACUUACCUCGAACCAAGCUCAAAUCAAUCUGUCACAAUGCUCUUUCCACGAAUAUCUGAAUCUGAAUGGCUAAAAUCUAGCCAAAACCAAUUACAUAAGAUAAAUAUAACUACAAGAAACUAAUCUAGCUAACGAAAUCAAAGCUAAGGCAAGAAAUUAGAAAAACGCCCAAAAAGCCUCCUCGUGCCCAUUUCUCGGAAUCGGAUAAAAGUCAUAAAUUAUGAAUAUUCAUUCACUCACGAGUCUAACCAUACCAAAAUUACUCCAAUCUGAUACCAAAAUCUCGAUCAAAACCCCAAAAUUCGACCUAAGAACUUUUCUCAAUUUUUCCAAUUUCUCACCCAAAUUCCUUAAUUAAAUGAAAAAAACAACUAUAGAUUAAUGAAAUACAACCAAAAACGAGUUAAGAAUCAUUAUCCUAAAGCUCCCUCUGAAAUCCUCCAAAGAAUUGCCAAUUUCCGAGCUCUCAAGGUCCAAAAUGGAUAAUAAACUCAACCCCUUGCACUUAGCUCUUUUUCUGCCAGUCAAAUCGCAUCCGCAGACCUUUCCUCGCACCUGCGGAAAAUCCAUUGCAGGUACAAGAAUGACUUAAAACUCAGAGUUCGGUUCUGCAAUCAAGGGGUCGCACCUGCGUGUGUGCACAUGCAGACUUUAUCCGCUUCUGCUGUCUUUUUCCGCUCUUGCCAGUCCGCACCUGCGGUCUCCCCUCCGUAGGUGCGAUAACAUCAGGAACCAUCAACUCAACAAUUUUCCCUAAGUCCAAUUUCAAUCUGUUGAGCAUCCGAAACACACCCGAGACCCCGGGACCUCAACCAAACAUACCAACUAAUCCUAAAAUACCAUAUGAACUUAGUCGAGCCCUUAAAUCACAUCAAACAACGCUAAAAACACAAUUCAUCCUCCAAUCCAAACCUAAUGAACUUGAAACUUCCAAAUUCGACAACCGAUGCCGACACUAAAUUUUGCACAUAAGUCAUAUUUAACCCUACGGACCUAUUCCAACUUCCAGAAUCAAAAUCCGACCCCGAUAUCAAAAAUUCCACUACCGGCCCAAAACUUCAAAAAUUCGACUUUCGUCAUUUCAAGCCUAACUGAGCUACGGACCUCCAAAAUACAAUCCGGACACACCCUUAAGCCUAAAAUUACCCAACGAAACUAAUGAAAUCGACGUAAUUCCAUUCCAGAGUCGUCUUUACACUGUUCCGACUACGGUCCAAAUUCUAAUACUUAAGACUCCGUUUAGGGACUAAGUGUCUCAAGUACUUCCAAAAACUAAAAUAAAACCUUCCGAUAAGUCACAAUAGCAGAAAUAGAUACGGAAAAAGUAAUUAAUAGGGGAUCGAGACUCUAACUCUCAAAACGACCGAUCGGGUUGUUACAAUCCUAUAUAAACAUGAUACCAAGAAAAUCUUUAGUAUAACGUUAACCUCCAGGCAUGUACCAAUUGAAAGUAAUAAAGCUUUUCGUUGGCACAGAGUCCACCAUGAAGUCACGAACUAUGUCAAUGAUGAUUUCUGAAUAACUUCAUAGUACACGUUAUCUCGUAAAUACAAGCCCUUAGACAACACGUCACCAUAAAAUGAACUGGUCUAACAGAUAAAUAGAUUUACCUGUCAAAAUAGUAUUGAGAAAAAUAUACCAUAGUAGUUGUUUAUGGGAGAGAACUUCUAACAGGAACAAGAAAAAAAAAGAUAAAGUGAUUUGACACUUUAUUUUGCUUUUAUAUAGUGCAACAUAAAUGUGAAAAGGCUACAUUUAUAAUCGUUGGAAAUUCAAAAGACAAAACAAUUAAAGCAAAAAUAUGAAAAGGCCACAACGUUACUAAAAAAUAUUUUACCAAUGCAACUUCCCUAAGAGAUGAAACAAUCCUCCUUAAGUCCGAUUCAAUGUAGCCAAAAUUAUCAUUUAAUAGAAGUCAUUUUUCAUGUGAAGGACAAAUUGUUAUUUAAUUUUUGAGGGUUAUUAUUGUCGUUCAAACUUUACUUUAUGACUUCACACUUAUAAUAUAGUACUAGUAUCUAGACACACGUGUUGCACGUGUAUCCUAUAUUCAUUAGUAAAUAAUUUAAAACAUCACACAAAUAUUAAUAUAAAAAUAAAUAUUUGAGUUAUAAAAUAAAAAAUUUAAAAAUAUAAAGGAAGAAACCUUUCUCCACAAAAGUGCUUAUGUUUUAUUCCUUGAAUUUUCAUUUAAGGGUAAACUUAGAUUAUUAUUAUGCUGACCUUUCAUUUAGCUAUUUUAAACAGAUCUAAUCAAUCUCGAUUUUGAAUGCAGAGAAAUUAAAGCAAACUUUCAUUUGUUAUAUAUGAGGCGAAACUGCUACUUGGAUUGUGCAAUUAAUAAAAACAAAAAGAAACAAUAAUAAUAUAAAUUUUCUAUAGUCAUGGCAAAAUAACUAAUAAUAAACCAUAGCUACUCGGCAUCCUGAUCAUGUGCAAAGUAAAGUUAUUUCAUAGAAGAAGAAAAGUUUAUCAGAUAACUGAGUUAGCUAAUUUUUAGGUGCAAGAUUUCACCUUCAAAUGAUGUUAAAACUCAGGUCUUAGAAUCCAUAUGUAAAUCUCUUGAAAUUAUAGGUAGAAUCAUAAUCUCCUGUAUAAAUUAAAAAUAUUCUUCUAAGAUAAGAUAAAUUUACUAUGAGAUCAAACCAAUAAAGUCAUCUCAAGAUGACUAAAAAGUAGUAAAUAUAGAGUGAGUUCAAACAUCUAAAGAAAAAAAGGCUCCAAUGCAGCUAAAACAAACCACAUAAAGAAGACCUAAAACAAAAAAAAUUAUUGCACAAAUAUCUUAAAUAUAUAUUUACAUAAUCACAUUCUCAAUCAAAGCGAAUACAUGUCGAUCCAAUAACCAUCAUAUUAGCAAUAUUUUUAGUAGUAUAUCCACAUACCUCAUUAUUAAGUGGAAAUAGGUCUAAAAUCUUAAUGACCCAAGACAAAUAAUUUUUGUACAAGAAGAUAGGAGUGUAACGAUUCGAAUGGUCGUUUUGGGCAAUUGCACUUCGCUCGGUUAUUUGAGGGCAUGAGUAUAUCCGUAUGAUGUAUUAUGACAUAUGUGAAUCGUCGGUUUUGGUUUUUAGGUUAUCUGAAAUUUGAUUUUGGGAGAAUGAUUCACAGCUAGAAGCUUCAAAUUUGAAAGGUUUGACCAAGUUUUGACUUUUUAGUAUUCGAUAUCAGAUAUGAAUUUCGAUGGUUUCGUCAGCUCCGGUAGAUGUUUUUGGACUUAGAAGCAUGCCCGGAAUGUAAUUUGAAAGUCUGUGGUGGUAUUAGACUUGAAUUGGCGAAACUAGAAAUUUGGUGAUUUCUGGUCGGCACUGAAAAAUUUGAUAUCGGAGUCGGAAUGGAAUUUCGAGAGUUGGAGUAGGUUUGUAGUGUCAUUUAUGACGUGUGUGCAAAAUUUGAGGCCAUUCGGAUGAGGUUUGAUAGGUUUCGGCAUCACUUGGGAACGUUUGAGGUUUCAAGUCCAUUAAGCUUGAAUUGGUGUGUGAUUCAUGUUUUUGUUAUUGUUUGAGGUGAUUCGAGAGCUCGAUUGAGUUGGUAUGGUAUUUUAGGACUUGAUGGCAUAUUUGGUUGAGGUUUCGGAGGCCUCAGGUGUGUUUCGGGUGAGUUUUAAGCGAGUCCGGGCAUUAUCGAAACUCAGGUAUGGUUCUGGUGCUUAAUUUUCACGGACGACAGCAAAAUUUCGCUGAGGGAGGAGGUGGGGGCGCGAACUGCGUAAAUUUGGUCGCGGAGGCACUCCAGGCCAGAUCUGCAGAUUUGCGAGUCUGACUUCGGAAGCCUAUAUCUUUUGAUCUACAAGGAAUUUUGAGAUGAUUCAAAAACAGAAGUUGUAGCCCUUCGUGUUUAGUUUCCAUAAAUCAUCAUUUAGAUAUCUAUAGAGAAAGUUAUGGCCAAAAUAUUAAAACAUGUCACUGCAGCCACCAAAAGCGCGGACAAUGCUACUUUUUCGCGAUCGCAGGGGUUGGAUUUUCGCGGCCGCGCCUGGAUUUUCGCGGUCAGCGUAGUGGAGAUCAGAGAGUGAACUAUAUAAAUGGGGUUUAGGGCAUUAUUUCACAUUUUAGACCUAGGGAGCUCGGUUUGUGGCGAUUUUUCGAGGGUUUUUCAAGAAAUUCAUCGAGGUAAGUGAUUCUAACUUGGAUUUGAUUAAUAUACAUGAAUAUAUCAUUGAUUUCAUCAUUUGAUUAGUACUUUAAGGUGGAAAUUUGGGGAAAAUUGUGAAAAUUUUAUAAAAUGAAUUUUUGAGAUUUGAAUGUCGAUUUGGAGUCGGAUUUGAGUCAAACUAAUAUGGUUAGUCUCGUAAUUGAAUGGGUUGUCGGAUUUCGUGACUUUGGUCGGAUUUAGAGACGUGGGCCCGGGGCCCGAUUUUUGAGUUGACUUUUUAACUCUUGGUCUUAAGCUUAGCAUUUUUUUAUGAGAUUGAUUUCUUUAGCUCGUGUUGAUUGUAUCGAAUUAUUUAUGGCUAGAUUCGGAGCGUUCGGAGGUCGAUUUGAGGGGCAAAGGCAUCGCGGAAUAGGAUUUUGGCUUGGUUGAGGUAAGUAAUGCUUCCAAACUUGGUUUUGAAGGUUCGACACCCCGAACUAUGUGCUAUAUGAUUGUAUUGAGGUGACGCAUAUGCCAAGUGACGGGCGUACGGGCGUGCACCGUGAGAAUUGUGGCCUGGUUCAUUCCAUGGCACCGCUAGUGACUCUUUCUUGCUGAUACCAUUAUUUCUAUCAUGUGACUAAGUAAAUGUGCUGCAAAUCAUGCUAGCUAUCCUGUUAGGACUUCACGUCGAUACUGAUGAGACCCGAGUGGUCGUUUCUUGCUGUCAUAUCACUAGAUUCAUUGAUGUUAUGUACUCAGUCUUACUCAUGCAGAUCAUAUCAUGUCUCAGUCUCAGUUGUUAUUAUUUGAUGCAUCAUAUCAUCGUUCCGGGCUAGUUUUCAUGGCAUUGUGAGCCCGUGAGUGAGACUGGAGAGUGGUGACUGAGAGAGGCCGAGAGCCUGAAUAAUGAGUGACAGUUAUGGGUCGGGCUGCACGCCACAGCGGAUUAUUGAUUAUGCCUUCGUUGGCAUGUUAUAGUGCUUGGGACGUAGGAUACCCUCUGGAGUCUGCACACUCAUAGUAGGCGCGGAUAAUAUUAUUGAGGGAUGGAUUUUUCUUAACAUGGAUUUGUCCGAAGUAUUAAUAUAUGGAGAUGGAUUUCUCCAUAGAGAUGGAUUUCCAUGGACAUGGAUUUGUCCGAAGUAUUGAUAUAUGAAGAUAGAUUUCUCCACAAGGAUGGAUUUUCCUUUUUUUCUCGGUACCGAGGACGUCUAGUCAUUGUUGAGUAUGUUCCGGGAUAGAUUUCCCUAGGUCGGAUGCCAUAUGCGGUACCGAGUGGUUGAGUGUGUAUACAUAUAUACAUGUAGAUGGAUUUCUCCUCAGGGUUGGAUUACCCUUGUUCCUCGGUACUGGAUGACUUGUUGUCAGCGUUGUAUAUGUUCUGGGAUGGAUUUCCUUCGAUCGGAUGGCCAUAUGCAGUACCGAGUGGUUGAGCACUUGAGAGUGGGAGCACAUGGUGCAUUUCAUACAUUUUGUGCAUUGGUAUGCAGAGUUACCUGAGCCUUAUAUUCCACUGUUGAACUGUAUUCCUGAAAGAAUAUCAUGCCUACUUUACUGCACAACUUAUUUCUAUUCUCUAUUGAGGUUACGUUCGUCACUACCUAUCAGUCCAUAGGUUGUACUUGUUACUUACUGAGUUGGUGUACUCACGUUACCUCCUGCACCUUGUGUGCAGAUCCUGGUGCUUUCGGAUCCAGUGGCAGUCACUGAUCAAGGUUGCAAGCUUGGGAGAUUGUUGAGGUAUCUGCAUGACGUUCGCAAAUCUUGACCCUCCCUUUCUAUUCUAGUUGUGUUUCAGUUGUAUUCAGAAAAUAUUGUAGUAGACUAUGUUAAUUCUCUAGACGCUCAUGUACUCCG